CGUUUCAUCUUUGCUGAAAUGCAAGGAUCUCAUAAUUCACCAUGCUGUUGACGUUUCUAAGAAGAGAAGUAAUAAAAAGAAGCCUUUUUGUGAAAUAUAGGCCAUUUUCAUAGAAUCUAAAUAGUUCUCAUACAAGCUCAAAGAUGCAACUCAACAAAGAAGACACUAUCCUAGAAUUUAGUGUAAAUGUCUCAUGAUAGUCUGUGGAUGAAACCUACCAGUGCAUCAAUUAGAUUUUUCAUGCCGUGAACAACAUUUCUGUCUGUGAACAAAAAAUUUCGAACAAAUCUAUAGUAUAUGGUCCAUAAAACGAGGUAGAAAAAAAGUUAGGAAGGAAGCUUAAAUGUGAAAAAAGGAAGUAAGGUGUGUGAAGAAAAACACUAAGGAACAGAAAACGAGGGAAGCAAGAACAGAUAUAAAUUAUGAAAAUUGGACACAGAUUUAUGGGUUUUCCGAAUAUAACCUUCACCUUUCAUUUUUAG